rnacentral:lncRNA from 1 species
GCGUCUUCAUUGCGAUGUAUUGUUUCCAGCUCCUUGCUUGAGUUGCUUGACACUGGAGGUGUAAACUAUAUUGGUUGCUGCAGAAGUUCUAAGCCUCAUAGCGUAAGACCAAUUUAUGCAUGUUUACAUAUGAUUUCUUGUACAUUAGGCAUUAAAUGUUAAAAUGAAGCUAAAACUUUAGUCUUAAUGUAAUGUCUACUCAUGUCCAAU